ACUCAAUUUUCUGUGCAAUAUUCUUAAAAUCCUAACAUUUAGAGAUUUUAAAACUGGUUUCAGUGCUUUGAGAUUAUUCCACACCUCCUUGACAGUACCUUGAGUAGUAUUUCUCCAAUUCUCCUUGAUAAGUUGCUGGAAGUCCUUAUGAUUAGCCCAUGCAUUAUAGAAUCUGAAGGGGGCCUUCCUGAUCAUAGUAGCUUCAGUCAAAGUGAGCACCAUUGGAUUAUGAUCAGAGAUUAGUGGAGGAUCAUAUACAGUUUGUACAUGGCUCCAUUUAAUCAUCCAUUCAUAAUUACCAAAUAUUCUGUCCAAUCUGCUACAAACUCUAUCAUUGCCAGUUUGUUUAUUGGUC
rnacentral:lncRNA from 1 species